UACGGAGGGUGCAAGCGUUAUCCGGAUUUACUGGGUUUAAAGGGUGCGCAGGCGGAUAUGUAAGUCAGUGGUGAAAUCUCUAGGCUUAACCUGGAAAUUGCCGUUGAUACUAUAUAUCUUGAAUGCUGUGGAGGUAAGCGGAAUAUGUCAUGUAGCGGUAAAAUGCUUAGAUAUGACAUAGAACACCUAUUGCGAAGGCAGCUUACUACGCAGAUAUUGACGCUCAUGCACGAAAGCGUGGGGAUCAAACAGG
rnacentral:rRNA from 1 species